rfam:Thalassospira xiamenensis M-5 = DSM 17429, complete genome.
AUCGAUCACCUGGGGAGCCCCGACAAGGGGCUGAGAAACUGCUGGCUUUGCAGCGCAGUGACCCUUUGAACCUGAUCCAGUUCAUACUGGCGUAGGGAUGGUGCGGAUGCUGGCAU